rnacentral:rRNA from 1 species
GACGAACGCUGGCGGCGUGCUUAACACAUGCAAGUCGAACGGUAAGGCCCUUCGGGGUACACGAGUGGCGAACGGGUGAGUAACGCGUGAGUAACCUGCCCUCCACUCUGGGAUAACAGUUGGAAACGGCUGCUAAUACCGGAUAUUCAGCUCCUGUCGCAUGGUGGGGGUUGGAAAGUUUUGGUGGUGGAGGAUGGGCUCGCGUCCUAUCAGCUUGUUGGUGGGGUGAUGGCCUACCAAGGCGUCGACGGGUAGCCGGCCUGAGAGGGCGACCGGCCACAUUGGGACUGAGAUACGGCCCAAACUCCUACGGGAGGCAGCAGUGGGGAAUAUUGCACAAUGGGCGGAAGCCUGAUGCAGCAACGCCGCGUGCGGGAUGACGGCCUUCGGGUUGUAAACCGCUUUCAGCAGGGACGAAGCGCAAGUGACGGUACCUGCAGAAGAAGCACCGGCUAACUACGUG